UGAGGAAUAUUGGUCAAUGGGCGAGAGCCUGAACCAGCCAAGUAGCGUGCAGGAUGACGGCCCUAUGGGUUGUAAACUGCUUUUAUAUGGGAAUAAAGUGAGGGACGUGUCCCUUAUUGCAUGUACCAUACGAAUAAGGACCGGCUAAUUCCGUGCCAGCAGCCGCGGUAAUACGGAAGGUCCAGGCAUUAUCCGGAUUUAUUGGGUUUAAAGGGAGCGUAGGCUGUUUGUUAAGCGUGUUGUGAAAUGUAGGAGCUCAACUUUUAGAUUGCAGCGCGAACUGGCAGACUUGAGUGCGCACAACGUAGGCGGAAUUCAUGGUGUAGCGGUGAAAUGCUUAGAUAUCAUGACGAACUCCGAUUGCGAAGGCAGCUUACGGGAGCGCAACUGACGCUAAAGCUCGAAGGUGCGGGUAUCGAACAGG
rnacentral:rRNA from 1 species